rnacentral:lncRNA from 1 species
UGACCUCAUUCAAACUUAAUUACCUCCAUGAGGAUCGCAUCUCCAAAUACAAUCACAUUCCAAGCUCAAGACUAGCAAACAUAGUGUUUGAAGAAGCUUGAGUGGAAGCUUCAAGACUUAUGACCAAGAUUAGAAGUCCUGGAAUGUCACUUCUACCAUUUUCUACUGCUCAAGAAAGUCACUAAGACCAGCCCAAAUCCAAGGAGAGAGGAAUUAGAUUUCAACUCUCAACAGGAGAAGUACCAUACUAAAGACUAUAUGACCAUCUUUGGUAAGGUUGACUGGCAGGUCUUCUGCUCCAUGCUGUAUCAACUGGGGUCACACAAAUAUAAUUAGUUGGUGGCUGGGCUGGGUCUAGAAGAUUGAAAAAGACCCCCCUUAUACAUCUGGUGGCUCAGCUGGGGUGGUUUGAGUGGCUGGAGCACCUCGGUCCUCUUCCAGAAAUAACGCCUUUCAGGAGCACAAGAGUUGAUGAAAGAAAACACUCUCAAAGUCAAGUUUGCUGUAGCCUGUAUACCUGAAAACGGUGGGCUUGAGAGGCCGGGAAGAGAAAGAAAGAAGAGGGAUAGUAACAACCUAAACAGCAAAGACUUGGAACUUGAAAUUAAAAAGAUAUACACCUAUCUAUGUAUUUCUGAUAUGUUUGUCAUAAUUUCAACCAAAGUUCAUGAUCUAUAGAAUUUUGCAUAAAUAAAAAAUAUCAUUUGGUUAGU